rnacentral:rRNA from 1 species
UACAGAGGGUGCGAGCGUUGUCCGGAAUCACUGGGCGUAAAGGGCGCGUAGGCGGCUUGAUAAGGUUGCGGUGAAAGCCCGGGGCUCAACCCCGGGUCGGCCGUGGCAACUGUCGAGCUGGAGCACUGUAGAGGCAGGUGGAAUUCCGGGUGUAGCGGUGGAAUGCGUAGAGAUCCGGAAGAACACCGGUGGCGAAGGCGGCCUGCUGGGCAGUGGCUGACGCUGAGGCGCGACAGCGUGGGGGAGCAAACAGGAU